rnacentral:rRNA from 1 species
CCUACGGGAGGCAGCAGUGGGGAAUAUUGGACAAUGGGGGAAACCCUGAUCCAGCGACGCCGCGUGAGUGAAGAAGUAUUUCGGUACGUAAAGCUCUAUCAGCAGGAAAGACAAUGACGGUACCUGACUAAGAAGCCCCGGCUAACUACGUGCCAGCAGCCGCGGUAAUACGUAGGGGGCACGCGUUAUCCGGAUGUACUGGGGGUUAAGGGAGCGUAGACGGCAGCGCAAGUCUGGAGUGAAAUGCCGGGGACCAACCCCGGAACUGCUCUGGAAACUGGGAAGCUGGAGUGCAGGAGAGGUAAGCGGAAUUCCUGGGGUAGCGGUGAAAUGCGUAGAUAUCAGGAGGAACACCGGCGGCGAAGGCGGUUUACUGGACUGUAACUGACGUUGAGGCUCGAAGGCGUGGGGAGCAAACAGGAUUAGAUACCCUGGUAGUC